rnacentral:rRNA from 1 species
UACGUAGGGUGCGAGCGUUAUCCGGAAUUAUUGGGCGUAAAGAGCUCGUAGGCGGUUUGUCGCGUCUGCUGUGAAAGACCGGGGCUCAACUCCGGUUCUGCAGUGGGUACGGGCAGACUGGAGUUCGGCAGGGGAGACUGGAAUUCCUGGUGUAGCGGUGAAAUGCGCAGAUAUCGGAAAGAACACCAACGGCGAAAGCACUCUGCUGGGCCGACACUGACACUGAGAGACGAAAGCUAGGGGAGCGAAUGGG